AAAAUUCUAACUUUCGGCAUUUCUAGCAUAAAUGAGCUACGGACAUCCAAAAUAUAUUCCGGACACGCUCCCAACCCCGAAAUCACCUAAAAGAGCUAACGGAACCAUCAGAUUUUCAUUCCGAGGUUGUAUUGACACUGUUCUGAUUACGGACCAUUUUUCAACACUUAAGCUUUCAUUUAGGGACUAAGUGUCCCAAAACACUCCGAAUUCUAUUACCGAACAUCCCGGCAAACAAAAAUAGCAGAAAUGAACAUAGGGGAACCCAUUAAUGGGGAAAUGGGGCAUGAAUUCCAAAGAUGACUGGUCGGGUCGUCACAUCCUCCUACACCUAAACAUUCGUUCGUCCUCGAACGAGCAUAGAGAACAUACCUGAAGUAGCAAAAAGAUGAGGGUAUUGGCUGCACAUAUCCCGCUCGGCCUCCCAAGUCGCCUCCUUGCCUGGCUGGUUGACCCCACCACUGAACCUUUACUGAAGUUGUAUCCUUUGACCUAAGCUUCCGAACCUGCCUAUCCAAUAUUGCCACUGGCUCCUCAACAUAGGACAAGUGAUUGUCCUACUGGACUGAAGUGAACUCCAACACGUGAGACGGGUCACCGUGAUACCUCCGAAGCAUCGAAACAUGAAAUACUGGAUGAACCUCGGCCAAAUUGGGAGGUAAAGCAAGCUCGUAAGCAACUUUCCAACCUUCUUCAAAAUCUCAAAUGGACCAAUGAACCUCGGGCUCAACUUCCCUUUCUUUCCAAACCACAUGACGCCUUUCAUAGGCGAGACCUGGAGCAAACCCUGCUCACCAACCAUAAAGGAAACAUCACAAACCUUUCGGUCCGCAUAGCUCUUCUGUCUGGACUGGGCUGUAUAGAGUCUGUCCUGAAUCACUUUGACCUUCUCAACCGCAUCCUGAACCAAAUCCCAAUAGUCUGACCUCGCCCGGCUCGAACCAACCCACCGAGGAUCUGUAUCUCAUACCAUAUAAGGCCUCAUAAGGCUCCAUCUGAAUAC
rnacentral:lncRNA from 1 species